AUUAGAAGUACAAAACCUUCCUUCCUAAAACACAUGCUUGCAUAUGGGAAGAGGUUUUGUUUGGAGCAGAAGGAAAGCAUGUGGUAGGUGGAAAAAAAGAGAGAGGGAAUGUGGUACCUGGGAGGAGGAGACACCUGUUAGUGACAGCACAGUCUGGCAGACAGCUAAUUGUGAAAUUUGACUUUGUAUAGGCAAUUUAAGGUGACAAAUCAGGAUCUCUGAAAUUAGAAAUCCUGGUCAGGAGUUUUGAGACAUAUGAAGACUAUCUCAUUUUCCUACCCAAAAGCUCUAGAACUAUGAGAGCAGCAAUGAGUUGUAGUGUGGAUGUGAUGCCUGAGACCAAACUGCUGCCUUGCCUGGGCCCUUCUACAUGACCAUUUACGCUCACUGGAGAGUAAACCUGCAGGAGAACUUCAGAAUGGUGUAAGAGGAUGUAGGGAUAGCUGCUGCCACUUAAUUCUGUAUGUAUCUACUGUGCUGUGCCAGUGCCUGCUUGGUCUGAAACCUGCUUCUGGUUUGGUUGUUCUUUUAUUUCUUGGGAGAUAUACUUCCCCAAAUAAGGCUUACCUCACAUAUUUCUUGCAGCGGAAGAGAGAAGUAAUAUCCCAAAUAAUUACUUAGAAAAAAAAAAUAAUGGGAUUAUGUGAGAGAAUUACCGUAUGAAGCUACUUGGUGCAGGAGAGCUGUAAUGAAAUCUUGCAAUAAGGGACAUACCACUGACAUUUAGGUUUAUUGAUGAGUGACUCCUGCUCAAAAGCUUUCAAAGCCAUUAUCUGCUGCCUGCCACUCUGCCCUGUUUCAGUAGGACUGCAUCAAAAACCUUACUUUUAGAGCACUGUAAAGCAACUAAUGGAAAAAAAACAAGGGGAAAGAAUCUCACUUGAAAUGUGUCAUUAACAUAGAUGCAGAAAUGCCAAAGCCUCUGAAUAUGACACUGUGAGGACCCAUGCAUUGUGUGGAAGGGACAAUAGGUGUUCUUAGAACCAGACCACCAAUUGUGGAUUACUGCAGGUAUUUUGCUGAGUGAGGAAGACAAGGAGCUAAACAGCUACCAUGUGCUCAGUAAAACACUGAUGUGGUGUUCUCACAGGAGGCAAAAUGCACCUGGUCCUCAAGGUCCUCUACCAGCUGAUUCAUUUGGAAAUGCAACACAGCAAAUAAGAGAGAACACACUUCAUCUAAACCCUGCAACAGCUAGAGCCAGAAGUCAAAUAUAUGCAGUAAAAGAAAUUCUUUGUACUUCUAUUGUGUCUUUCACCCAAAUAUUCCAAUGGAUGUCUACACCUCAUGCUCCUUUUCAUCUGCAAGUCCUGCUCUUGGUAUGUUAUCAUUUGCAUUUCCCUGU
rnacentral:lncRNA from 7 species